AUUGAACGCUGGCGGCAUGCCUUACACAUGCAAGUCGAACGGUAACAGGUCUUCGGAUGCUGACGAGUGGCGAACGGGUGAGUAAUACAUCGGAACGUGCCCGAUCGUGGGGGAUAACGAAGCGAAAGCUUUGCUAAUACCGCAUACGAUCUACGGAUGAAAGCGGGGGAUCUUCGGACCUCGCGCGGACGGAGCGGCCGAUGGCAGAUUAGGUAGUUGGUGGGAUAAAAGCUUACCAAGCCGACGAUCUGUAGCUGGUCUGAGAGGAUGAUCAGCCACACUGGGACUGAGACACGGCCCAGACUCCUACAGGAGGCAGCAGUGGGGAAUUUUGGACAAUGGGCGCAAGCCUGAUCCAGCCAUGCCGCGUGCAGGAUGAAGGCCUUCGGGUUGUAAACUGCUUUUGUACGGAACGAAAAGGUGCCUUCUAAUAAAGGGCGCUCAUGACGGUACCGUAAGAAUAAGCACCGGCUAACUACGUG
rnacentral:rRNA from 1 species